GAUGAACGCUGGCGGCGUGCCUAAUACAUGCAAGUCGAGCGAACAGAUGAGGAGCUUGCUCCUCUGACGUUAGCGGCGGACGGGUGAGUAACACGUGGAUAACCUAACUAUACGACUGGGAUAACUUCGGGAAACCGGAUCUAAUACCGGAUAAUAUAUUGAACCGCAUGGUUCAAUAGUUGAAUACGGUUUUUCUGUCACUUAUAGAUGGCUCCGCCCCGCAUUAGUUAGUUGGUGAAGUAAAGGGUUACCAAGGCAACGAGGGGUAACCGGCCUGAAGGGGUCGACGCACACAUGGUAACUGAGACUGGGCCCAGACUCUUAGGGUAGGCCGCGGUAGGGAAUCUUCCGCGAUGGAGGAAAGCCUGACGGAGCAACGCCGCGUGAGUGAUGAAGGUCUUCGGAUCGGAAAACUCUGUUAUUAGGGAAGAACAAAUGUGUAAGUAACUAUGCACGUCUUGACGGUACCUAAUCAGAAAGCCACGGCUAACUACGUG
rnacentral:rRNA from 1 species